AUGCAUGAUCUUGUCUCCAACGCCCAGAGUGCAUUCAUCAAAAAGAGAAGCAUCCAUGACAAAUUUUUGUUCGUCAGGAACUUGGCAAGAAAGUUCCAUCGCAACCGCUCCCCGACGCUCUUAUUCAAACUAGACAUUAAAAAGGCGUUUGAUUCUGUACGUUGGGACUUCCUUAUGGAUCUGCUGAAACACCUCCGCUUUCCGGACAGAUUUCGUGACUGGGUUUCAGCUUUGCUCUCUACCCCCACCUCAAGGGUGUUGAUCAAUGGAGUUUUGGGUGAUCCACUGAAGCAUGGAUGUGGCCUUCGCCAGGGGAACCCGCUUUCCCCUCUUCUCUUCGUCCUGGCUAUCGAUCCGCUCCACCACCUCCUCUGCAAGGCCACGACCCAAGGACAACUACACCCUCUGUGUGGUAGAUCUUCACCCGUUCGGGCCUCGCUCUAUGCCGACGAUGUCGCCAUCUUUGUGAAGCCC
rnacentral:rRNA from 1 species